ensembl:snRNA U4 U4 spliceosomal RNA
AACUUUACACGGUGGCAGCAUUGUAGCCAAUGAAGUUUAUCCACGGUGUGAUUAUUGCUCAUUGAAAAUUUUUCCCAAUACU